ACGUAUCCGGUUCACGCCUGCCAUAGGGGCAUGGCGACCCGGGUCC
rfam:Bifidobacterium cuniculi strain LMG 10738 Contig26, whole genome shotgun sequence.